GUCAGGAUGGCUGAGCGGUCUAAGGCGCCAGACUCAAGGACAUAAUCCUUGCUUCAAUAAAAUAAGUUGCAGUAUUCUGGUCUUCAAUGAAGGCGUGGGUUCAAAUCCCACUCCUGACA
rfam:Daphnia pulex DAPPTscaffold_102_Cont4479, whole genome shotgun sequence.